rnacentral:sRNA from 1 species
UUUUCAUCUCUCUGCACAUUCCUGUUCCCAUGUGGGCCUUUUUCUGGGAGGAACAGAACCUUUCCACAUGGCAGCUCCCGGGAGAGCAGGAGAGAGCAGGGGAACAAGCCAGCAAGCAGGAGAGAGAAGAGACAGCGUCCCUCAGAGCGGGUUGCGCAGGGAGGAGCCCGACCUUCAGCCUCAGCUGGCCAGCGAAGCCCCACGCCGCCCUGCCCAGCCGCCUCCUUCCAAAUCCGCGCUGCUCCCCCCACCGUCCCCUCGGGUCGGGAAGCGGUCCCCGCCGGGACCCCCGGCCCAGCCCGCGGCCACCCCCACGUCGCCCCACCGUCGCACUCAGGAGCCUGUGCUGCCCGAGGACACCACCACCGAAGAGAAGCGAGGGAAGAAGUCCAAGUCGUCCGGGCCCUCCCUGGCGGGCACCGCGGAAUCCCGACCCCAGACGCCACUGAGCGAGGCCUCAGGCCGCCUGUCGGCGUUGGGCCGAUCGCCUAGGCUGGUGCGCGCCGGCUCCCGCAUCCUGGACAAGCUGCAGUUCUUCGAGGAGCGACGGCGCA